AUUGAACGCUGGCGGCAUGCCUUACACAUGCAAGUCGAACGGCAGCACGGGGCAACCUGGUGGCGAGUGGCGAACGGGUGAGUAAUGCAUCGGAACGUGCCAUUGAGUGGGGGAUAACGUAGCGAAAGUUGCGCUAAUACCGCAUAUUCUGUGAGCAGGAAAGCAGGGGACCGCAAGGCCUUGCGCUCUUUGAGCGGCCGAUGUCAGAUUAGCUAGUUGGUGAGGUAACGGCUUACCAAGGCGACGAUCUGUAGCGGGUCUGAGAGGAUGAUCCGCCACACUGGAACUGAGACACGGUCCAGACUCCUACGGGAGGCAGCAGUGGGGAAUUUUGGGCAAUGGGCGAAAGCCUGAUCCAGCCAUGCCGCGUGAGUGAAGAAGGCCU
rnacentral:rRNA from 1 species